rnacentral:rRNA from 3 species
UGGUGGCGAUAGCGAAGAGGUCACACCCGUUCCCAUACCGAACACGGAAGUUAAGCUCUUCAGCGCCGAUGGUAGUCGGGGGGUUCCCCCUGUGAGAGUAGGACGCCGCCA